ensembl:lncRNA
GGGAAGCCGGGAGGAGUGGGCAGAGGCUCUCUGCUGGGCCCUGCCUCCCAGGAUGACCCCAGGCUCAGGACCAGCAGGCCCCACAAUAGGACUUGGCUCUGCACCCUCACCAAAGCUGCUGCCGGAGCUCCAGCCCUGCUCCCUGCCUCUGAUGGGUGUAUGGGGCGGGGGGCUCCCAGGGAAAAGGCUGUGCCCCCACCUGCCCAAGUACAAAGGAGCCCACUGAGGGACACCAGAGGGGGAGGGGCAAGGGAUGAGGUGUCCCCUGCCCCUUUCAGGAGCUGAGGAGCUCCAGAGCCUGCACCUGCCUUCUGAUGAGAAAGGCCGGGGAUUACUCCCACCACCCCCAUGCCGGGCCCCCUCUGCCUUCGCUGUCCCAGUGGGCAGGCAGGAGUGGGGCUGCUCAUCGGACAGAAGUGCCUGCCUGUCUUGGUCCCCGUGGUGAAUGGCAGUCUGAUCCCUCGGGUGAGGCAUCAAAAUAGUGAGUGUGGGGGAGCUGGGGAGGCUGGCGUGACACCCAACUACUUGCCUGCACCCCGGGGCCUGGGGUGGGGUAUCAUCCCCCAUGGAGAGCCUCGGGCCUUGGGUGUGGGUGCAGGAAGAAGACAGGCAGGCACCCUCUGGGCCAAGGGACCCCCUCCCUGCCUGGGACUCUGCAUCCCCUGUGGUGGGGGCCCUCUCCCCAUCCUGCACCCAUCUGCCCUGACCCCAGCAGGUAACAGAACUGAACAGAUCACCAUCUUCUGCCCUGCUGUUUCCCGACUCUGGCACGGGGACCAGUGACACGACUUGUGCCUCAGUGUCCUCAUCUGUAAAGUGGCCACGGGCUGCCAAGGGCCGUCAGAGGAGAUCAUCAUGCGGAGCCCAGCACCUCCAAGGCCCUGCCUGUCUCUCUCUCCUUACUCCUCCUCCUGCCACAUGCGUUGCGGCCUUCAUGACAGGACUCUGGGAUGGACAAUGCCACAGUCACUUGGGGCCAGGGGCAGAGGUGGUCAGGCCAGGGCUGGGGUCUCUCCUGGCCCAGAAUGCAUCCCCCCGCGGCUCCCUCUGGCCUGGCACUUUCUAUCCAGGGGCCCAAGGAGGAGUCUGUGGCAGUGGGCUGCUUGGUUUGGGGGGGUGGCCAACAUCAAGUUACGGCUCCCCAGAGACCCCCACGCCUGCAUGCCAAGGUCUUUGUCUCCUUUCUCGAAGGGGAUCAGUGUUUCUCCUGCCCAGGGCUGUCCUCUUAGGGUCAGUAUGAGGAUGGCCAGCCACUCUGGCUGGAUUCUUCCUACCACUCACUGAUCGCAGGCUUGGGGAGUGGUGCUGGGGUGCUGCCUCUGGGCCUCCUUGAUCCAUACCCAAGCCUGUGGCCUCCGCUCCCCAGGGUCUCUUCUUCCUCCCCCUCCCCAGGUGAGUCCCACCUGCUGUUGCAGGAGGCCAAGGCCCCAGCCCCGAGGGCCCUCCAUCCAGCCCUGUCCCUGGACACCUGGUCAAUGAUUAACACUGAGCAAACGGGAGCCGGGCCUCCCAGCAGAGUCAGGGCCACACAAAGGCCCUCCUGUCUGGCUGAGCUGCCAUCUUGGUGGGGGGUUACUGGCCACUCAGUCAAAUGCAGUGACAAACACCCCAGCUCCAGCAGGGAGUAGGCAUGGCCAGGCCGGGAGUGGGCUGGGGUUUGCUCACCUGCCAGUUCUCAAGUCCCAGCUUCGUGCUUGUUAGCAAGCCCAGGACAGAGGCCGGUAGGCUGGGGGCCCUCGGCGGGGCUGGCUGCACAACCCUGGCUUGUGCGGUCAGGGGCUGG